UGUCUUAGCCUAGCUCUCCAUCGUUUCUGACGACGCCUCGCAGUCCGCUUCUUGCUUUGGUCGCCUCGACACCUCUGCUUCUCCCUCCGCUGAGCAGCUACUCCACUUUGCCUGCUCUUCCCCGUCGCCGGCUCCGCCGAUUGCCGCCUCCUGCGCUGCUCCGGCUCCUGCUAGCCGAUAUCUGCUGGAUUGGAUAUCCUCUCCUCGCGAUCGAGAAUGCCGAAGCCUCAACAUCCUCAAUGUUGAAAGAUUAGGAUACUGGGAGAUGGAAGAUGUUUGUUCUGUGCCGUGGCUCAUGGGGCACACGUUAGGGACGGAAACCCAUCUCCAUCUGAAAGCCUUCAAAUGGAACUGGCGGAUAAGCUUAGAGCUAAAGUCGCAAAUCAAUUUGUCAAGAGGAAGGGGGAGUCUGAAUGGUUUCUCAAAGGUGAUUUUGACACGUACGCGAAAAAAAUGUGACAACAUGAUACCUGGGGAGAAGAGCCCGAACUUCUCAUGUGCUCCCAUGUCGUUCAGGCGCCCAUCACAGUUUACAUGAAGGAGAGAAAGGCUCCUGCUCCUGAGGUUGUAGCUGAAUAUGGUCAACAAUAUGGCUAGGAAAACCCUAUCCGAAUCCUCUACCAACAGGGUGGACAUUACGAUGUAGUGCUUCGUAUACCUGGCAGCAAAAGAGGCAACAAAAACCGGAAGGGGAAGAAAUGGCCCGAGGAAUCAGAAGAAAUGGUCCUGAAGACAUGAGGAGGCAUUUGAGAAGUAGAUGGAGGACUUGCUCGUAGGGGGACUAGAAGGAAUAUUUCGUCUCCUGUUUAGCGAUACAGACAGGAAUCAACAGUUAGGAUCGCUUAGUAAAGCCCAAGCCCAUGAAACAUGGCUCCCCCAGGGCGACUCCCAGGGAAAAAAAAAAGGAGUUUCGUUCGUGGGAAUUUAUAGUGUGGGAGAGGGAGAGGGAAUAAGAAACGUGAGGUGGAAGGUGGUGGGAGUUGAUCACAUCAUACAAUUGACUGGGGGGAAGGAAGGAAGGAUUGUUUGUUGAGAGCUUUUAUUUUUUGAGUGCUUUGAUAGAGUGAUUAUUUGUCUGCUAGUUGUUGAGUACUGCAUUGCAUGGGAUAGUUCCACCAGUCUGAGAUAAUAUAUCAUGCCGAUCUUUAACGACCAAGAUAAUAUA